rnacentral:rRNA from 1 species
GACGAACGCUGGCGGCGUGCUUAACACAUGCAAGUCGAACGGAAAGGCCCUGCUUUUGUGGGGUGCUCGAGUGGCGAACGGGUGAGUAACACGUGAGUAACCUGCCCUUGACUUUGGGAUAACUUCAGGAAACUGGGGCUAAUACCGGAUAGGAGCUCCUGCUGCAUGGUGGGGGUUGGAAAGUUUCGGCGGUUGGGGAUGGACUCGCGGCUUAUCAGCUUGUUGGUGGGGUAGUGGCUUACCAAGGCUUUGACGGGUAGCCGGCCUGAGAGGGUGACCGUCCACAUUGGGACUGAGAUACGGCCCAGACUCCUACGGGAGGCAGCAGUGGGGAAUAUUGCACAAUGGGCGGAAGCCUGAUGCAGCAACGCCGCGUGCGGGAUGACGGCCCUCGGGUUGUAAACCGCUUUCGCCUGUGACGAAGCGUGAGUGACGGUAAUGGGUAAAGAAGCACCGGCUAACUACGUG